CACCUCUUGGCAAUCCAUGAAAGCAGUGUACAAUACACUGUACUCCUCUCCCUCACUACGUCCAUGGCCGUUAGACUAUUUUUACUAUCUGGUUCCAAGAACAAAUAGACAUAAAUGUAGUUCUAGGAACUAUAGAGCACAACAACCAAGGGGAUCUGUACUCAUCACUAGCACAGCAGCUGAAAUAGCAGAGAAAGACAGGGACACGGGAAGAAAUGGGAAAGCCCAAGUGAGAAAGAAAAAGCAAAGCAUGAAGGGAAAUGCAAAAUUGGAGUAAAGAGGCACACACAGGAGAGGGAGAGAGCAUUGACCACAACUGAGACAGUCCAUGUUUAUGGGCCAUAUUUAUAUUUAUUUUUGAGCAUGUAUAAGCAAAAAAGUUAGGGCAGAGCAGGAAGACAUUCUCUACCUUACAGCCGAAGACCAUCCUCACAUCCUGCUGCCUCAGGGCAGAGAGUGGGAGUUCAGGUACCAAGGGCUGUUGAGAAACAGUACGCUCCAAGGCCUGGAUGGCUGGCUGCACCACAGCAGCUGUAUGCUCCACCUGUCAUCUUCUGGAGAGCAUGAAGUGCUAGGCAUCCAGAUGCCCCUCUGAUAGGGAGGGUUUGUGCCUCACUGACCUUAAUGCUACUCAGGAAACAGCAAACACCUGCAUGUCUCUAAGCACUGGAGACUAGUAGAGAGGCUGCACUACCUUCCUGUUCAGGCUAUACUUGCCUCAAAUCCUGCCUGGAAAACUUGGAGAAAUGAGGAGUUCUGUACGUCUGGGUUCUCACCUUCUAUUUGAUGAACAUGCUUGAUCAAUAGGAAGAAGGAGAAAGCCACUUCCAUCUGGCUGCUUAACUGGGCAUACACCCUCACUGUUCGUGCUCCAUCACCUAGCACACUACUCAAAAUCAGCAUUUUGGUACAUAUGAACCUACCAUAGGAUAUUUUAAUUACUUUCAGUUGUUUUAAUGCUUAUUUGCUUUGAAAUGUCAUUACGCUUAGUACAUUAAAUUAUU
ensembl:lncRNA